GGGCAGCACUGCGCAUGUCUGAAGGCGUGUGGCAAAGGGAGGGGCAAUAAGAAGGGCGGGGAAGAAAGGCGUGGCCUCUCAUGGGGAAGGGGCGGGGAGAUCCCAGCUACUGGAGGACGCCGGUUCCAAUGGCAACCCUGCUGAGGCGCCUCUGAGAGCCUCUUGGCUUUUACCUGGUCUGCAAGAAAUCAAACUUUGGGCACAAGUCAUGAAGCUGACAAGCUGGGGAGACACAGUGUCAGAUUUACCAGGUGAAAUCAGCCGCCCGGCCAAGCUAUCUUCUCUCUGGCAAGAGAGGCCUGUGAACAGCCAAGCUCCCCUUGGCACUGCGGAACCGCAGUGGACGCGUGGAGGCGCUCGGUAGAGGGGGGACUUUUGCUUGGGAUGCGGGGAGCUGUAGUCUCUUAUCCGUACCCAGCCUGUUAGUUGUAGGCCUGCAGGACUACAAUCUCGGCACAAACCAGGAUUGUAGGGCAGUGCGGAUCCCAGGAGGGAGACACAGCGUGGUGCGCUCCUGCCGGGCAUGCUGACUAGGGUAGUGUCUUAGGUGCUUCCAGCUGUUAGUCGCAGGGCUGCAGGACUACAAUCCCAGCAUGCAACGGGAGUGUAGGUGGUGACCUUGAGGGAGGGCCUGUGUGGUGCGCGCCUCGCCGGGCAUGCUGGGAACAGUAGCAUCUUAGCUGCUUCCGUCCGCUGGUCGCAGGGCUGCGGGACUACAAUCUCCUCAUGCAAUGAGAGAGAGGAUGGUGCGGAUACGUUGAGGGAGGAACCCUCCAAGGUCUGUUAGAGAAGAAGGGGUAGAAUCCCGAGAAUGUUUUCCCCACAGUGCUGAUGGGGAGAGACCACUAUCCCAUCUACUGCUACAACUCUGGAGACAUGCUUCUCCCACCUCCCCUAUAUGACACAAGGCCUAAUCUGCAGAGAAAGAGCAUCCAAACCUGAUCCAGUGGACACUGUGGAAAAACUCACCACAGCUGAGUGUGGAAAAACAAGGCCAACACACACAUCUCUGCACAGAUACAUCUCUCAUAAAGAAAUUAAAGUGUUAAGUUACCGGGCACUGUUGCAGACCCACUUCAACUGGAAGCUAGGAACAUGGACAAGGAGCAUCUGUACCACUGGGGGAGAUACAGCAAUGUGCUUUUGUCCUGGCAUUGCAUCUACAGGAGGGGCAGGAAACUCUUUGAAGUGACCCCACACCCCAAUUAACAGUGCUAAGUGUGAGGCUCCCUCAGAACAUCAGAGAUAUCCUCACUCCCUCACCCCUGCCACUAGGCUAAGAAGCAUGGAG